ACUGUUCCAGUUAUAGUUGCAAAUCUUUUUCAAAUUAAUAACAAACAACAAAAACUAGAAAAUUAAAAGUCGUUAACAUUACAAAUCAAAUACACUAGGCCAAUCAUUAUAUUUACCAAUCUUCCACAAAUACAUUUUUUCAAAUAGAAACAAAAUAAAUCGGAAGUUUCUAACAAACUGUCGGAUAUGCUGAUUUAGAAAAUCUUAUUUUCCAUAACUUAAACUAACUUGAUACUCAAGAUUUGUAAUAUUGAAAAAAAUAUUCUCAAACUGUAUUGAAUGGAAAUACUGUAUGCUAAAAUAUCGGCCUUGACCAAUCUUAUAUAUACUGCAUUCUAAACCUCAAAGCAAUCAUAUUUUUUUCAAUGAAUAAUAGCUAUAAAUGUCUUCCACUCAAAAGAUAUCGUACAUUGACGAAGUUAGUCCAUGGAAAUGGAUAUGGUUUAGUCCAUGGAAAUGGAUAUGGUUGAUCCAAGUCAAUGCUACACACCUGCAAACCAUCCAACGCCGGGUUUGGUGAGAGUUUGGAAAUCAUAUUUGCAGAUAAAAAGUAAGCCAUCAAAUUGGAUGAUUUAACGAGGAUCUACCUCAGAAAGUUUCAGAUCGGCUUCGAUUUCUUUUUAUCCAUAACAUCAAAGCCAUCUGACAUGACAUUCAAAACAAAUCAAUAAAUUGUUUCAGAAAUAUGUGUAGCUUCAACUAUCUAUGAAGGAUGAAGAAUGAAGAUCAAAAGAUUUACCAGCGAAGAGAUUCGCUGAAAAGAAUCAAGAUUAACAAAAGAGUCCUUUCCCAAUCGCCAUUUGUAUCAAUACUAUUAAAGUUGAAGUAUGACCAACUGAUAUUAGUUGUAUCCACUUUUUAAAUUUUAUAACUGCCAGUAAAUAUACUUUUAAUA